rnacentral:rRNA from 1 species
AGCUCCAAUAGCGUAUAUUAAAGUUGCUGCAGUUAAAAAGCUCGUAGUUGGAUUUGUGGGGCGGCCAUCCGGCACGGCGCCAGCGGAACUCCUCCCUAUCCUCUUGGAAAGGGUCUGGAGACCGCAGGUGUUUUCCGUUGUUCCGGCAAUGCGGCCGCCCCUUUCUCGGGAAGCGGGUUGCUGGCAUUAGGUUGUCGGCGGCUUCGCGCCCGUCUUUUACUGUGAAAAAAUUAGAGUGUUCAAAGCAGGCUUAGGCCGUUGGAUAUAUUAGCAUGGAAUAAUGGAAGAGGACCUCGGUCCUAUUUUGUUGGUUUCUUGGGCCGAAGUAAUGAUUAAGAGGGACAGUUGGGGGCAUUCGUAUUUAAUUGUCAGAGGUGAAAUUCUCGGAUUUAUGAAAGAC